rnacentral:lncRNA from 1 species
AUUAAUACAACAAGUUAAUGAAUUAGCGUUAUGACCGCCUACGUUCCAACUGCAACAAUUUACAGAUACAAUGAACAGAGUCUCUAGAGAAGGAAUGUAUUAGCUAAGUAGUCCUCAGCUCGAACAAUUUCUUCAUAAGUUUUUUUUUUUUUGGUUUAAAAUGUUAAUAAUUUGUUCACAAGUUUAGUAUAUAUCCAAUGAGUUUUGUCUAAAUUCAAGAACUUUAACUCGUUAGUCUUCUCUAGGAUAUAUACAUGUUCUUUCUUACUUUGGAUCGAAGAUUAGAUUGGAUGGUCACAUGAAGAGACGAUUUCUUGCUUAUUCAAGAAAGAUAUCGUUAGUCUUUUUUGGAAUAUAUGCAUGUUCUUUCCAUUAUUCCAUAUCGUCCUUGUUUGUGGAGGUUAGAAUGUUGCUAAGUGAGAGAUUACGUGAUUUAAUUCCUUUCAACUUCAAGAAAGAGUGGUUACGUUUGUGCAUGUGCUUUCCAUUAUCUAUUUUUUUUUUUUAGGGUGAGAUGGUUGUUAAAGCAAUUACAUUAACUAAUUUCAUCCAAACACAUGUAUGUGUUGUUCGGUAAUUAGCUUUGAGAUAUUGGAGCCCUGAUGUUCCUGUGUCCACAUACGAAAAUGAUUUUUAUUUUUAUUUUUAUUUUACUGAUGUUCUUUUUAUAGCGGCAUAGUCAAUGCAGUUCAAAAAAAUAAUAGUGGCAAAAAAAAUCUAAUUCAUAAAUAUAGAUGUACAUCGAAUCAGCAACCAUAAAAUAAAAAUAGCACUAGCUAGCUACAAAAUAGAAGAAUUGCAUAAAUUACGGGUACAUAUAUACACAUAUAUAAAUAUUUAUAACAAUUUCUAACUCAAUAUCGAGGGCUAUGUCAGCUUUAUGCUAACAUAGUUGCAUGCAUCUAUCAAUGGAUUCCAACAAUCAUAAUAUUUUAAAAAUUU